rnacentral:rRNA from 1 species
CCUACGGGAGGCAGCAGUGGGGAAUAUUGCACAAUGGAGGGAACUCUGAUGCAGCAACGCCGCGUGAAGGAUGAAGGUCUUCGGAUUGUAAACUUCUUUGAUGAGGGACGAACAAAUGACGGUACCUCAAAAACAAGCCACGGCUAACUACGUGCCAGCAGCCGCGGUAAU